rnacentral:rRNA from 1 species
GUCGAGCGAACAGAUAAGGAGCUUGCUCCUUUGACGUUAGCGGCGGACGGGUGAGUAACACGUGGGUAACCUACCUAUAAGACUGGGAUAACUUCGGGAAACCGGAGCUAAUACCGGAUAACAUUUGGAACCGCAUGGUUCUAAAGUGAAAGAUGGUUUUGCUAUCACUUAUAGAUGGACCCGCGCCGUAUUAGCUAGUUGGUAAGGUAACGGCUUACCAAGGCGACGAUACGUAGCCGACCUGAGAGGGUGANCGGCCACACUGGAACUGAGACACGGUCCAGACUCCUACGGGAGGCAGCAGUAGGGAAUCUUCCGCAAUGGGCGAAAGCCUGACGGAGCAACGCCGCGUGAGUGAUGAAGGGUUUCGGCUCGUAAAACUCUGUUAUUAGGGAAGAACAAACGUGUAAGUAACUAUGCACGUCUUGACGGUACCUAAUCAGAAAGCCACGGCUAACUACGUGCCAGCAGCCGCGGUAAUACGUAGGUGGCAAGCGUUAUCCGGAAUUAUUGGGCGUAAAGCGCGCGUAGGCGGUUUCUUAAGUCUGAUGUGAAAGCCCACGGCUCAACCGUGGAGGGUCAUUGGAAACUGGGAAACUUGAGUGCAGAAGAGGAAAGUGGAAUUCCAUGUGUAGCGGUGAAAUGCGCAGAGAUAUGGAGGAACACCAGUGGCGAAGGCGACUUUCUGGUCUGUAACUGACGCUGAUGUGCGAAAGCGUGGGGAUCAAACAGGAUUAGAUACCCUGGUAGUCCACGCCGUAAACGAUGAGUGCUAAGUGUUAGGGGGGUUUCCGCCCCUUAGUGCUGCAGCUAACGCAUUAAGCACUCCGCCUGGGGAGUACGACCGCAAGGUUGAAACUCAAAGGAAUUGACGGGGACCCGCACAAGCGG